UUUCCAUUUUGCGAAAAUGCCGUUGAAAAAAAGGGGGGAGGUGGGGAAGAAGUUAAUCAUCAUGCCCCUUAUGUCCUGGGCUACACACGUAAUACAAUGGCGGUCAACAGAGGGAUGCAAAACCGUGAGGUGGAGCGAACCCCUAAAAGCCGUCCCAGUUCAGAUUGUGGGCUGCAACCCGCCCACAUGAAGUCGGAAUCGCUAGUAAUCGCGGAUCAGCAUGCCGCGGUGAAUACGUUCCCGGGCCUUGUACACACCGCCCGUCACACCAUGAGAGUCGGGAACACCCGAAGUCCGUAGCCUAACCGUAUAGGAGGGCCCGGCCAAAGGGGGGUUCAAUAAUUGGGGUGAAUUCUUACCAGGGAAACCUAAA
rnacentral:rRNA from 1 species